UACGGAGGAUCCAAGCAUUAUCCGGAUUUAUUGGGUUUAAAGGGUGCGUAGGCGGCCUGUUAAGUCAGGGGUGAAAGACGGUAGCUCAACUAUCGCAGUGCCCUUGAUACUGACGGGCUUGAAUACACUAGAGGUAGGCGGAAUGUGACAAGUAGCGGUGAAAUGCAUAGAUAUGUCACAGAACACCGAUUGCGAAGGCAGCUUACUAUGGUGUGAUUGACGCUGAGGCACGAAAGCGUGGGGAUCAAACAGG
rnacentral:rRNA from 1 species